rnacentral:rRNA from 1 species
CUGGAGGUAUCAGAAGUGCGAAUGCUGACAUAAGUAACGAUAAAGCGGGUGAAAAGCCCGCUCGCCGGAAGACCAAGGGUUCCUGUCCAACGUUAAUCGGGGCAGGGUGAGUCGACCCCUAAGGCGAGGCCGAAAGGCGUAGUCGAUGGGAAACGGGUUAAUAUUCCCGUACUUGGUGUUACUGCGAAGGGGGGACGGAGAAGGCUAUGUUGGCCGGGCGACGGUUGUCCCGGUUUAAGCGUGUAGGUGUGUGUUCCAGGUAAAUCCGGUUCACUUUAACACUGAGGCGUGAUGACGAGGCACUACGGUGCUGAAGUAACAAAUGCCCUGCUUCCAGGAAAAGCCUCUAAGCAUCAGGUAACAUCAAAUCGUACCCCAAACCGACACAGGUGGUCAGGUAGAGAAUACCAAGGCGCUUGAGAGAACUCGGGUGAAGGAACUAGGCAAAAUGGUGCCGUAACUUCGGGAGAAGGCACGCUGACACGUAGGUGAAGUGAUUUACUCACGGAGCUG